rnacentral:rRNA from 1 species
AGCGAACGCUGGCGGCAGGCCUAACACAUGCAAGUCGAACGAACCUUUCGGGGUUAGUGGCGGACGGGUGAGUAACACGUGGGAACGUGCCUUUAGGUUCGGAAUAACUCAGGGAAACUUGUGCUAAUACCGAAUGUGCCCUUCGGGGGAAAGAUUAAUCGCCUUUAGAGCGGCCCGCGUCUGAUUAGCUAGUUGGUUGAGGUAAUGGCUCACCAAGGCGACGAUCAGUAGCUGGUCUGAGAGGAUGAUCAGCCACAUUGGGACUGAGACACGGCCCAAACUCCUACGGGAGGCAGCAGUGGGGAAUCUUGCGCAAUGGGCGAAAGCCUGACGCAGCCAUGCCGUGUGAAUGAUGAGGGUCUUAGGAUUGUAAAAUUCUUUCACCGGGGACGAUAAUGACGGUACCCGGAGAAGAAGCCCCGGCUAACUUCGUG